rnacentral:lncRNA from 1 species
UGGCCCAAGAAAUGGCAAAAAGACAAAAAAAAAAGAAAGAAAGCAGGCCUGGUUUGACUCUGUCUGGGAGAGCGCGUGUCCUGUGAGGGCGAGCGGGGGCUUUGAGGGACAAGGCACUUGCAGAGGCUCGGAGCUGACACCGGGUGAGACUGGUUCCCUCCUUCCCCUCCUCCCCAGAGGCUCCAGCGUUUUCUGAGCUAGCAAGCCCCCCUCAACUCCAGCUGUGCAUAGGCCCAGGUGCUGGGGGACACAGAUAUCCACUGUCCCCCUGUCCCCACUUCCCACCUUCCCAGUGGUGGGAUGACCCUGGAAGAAGCUGCUGAGAAAUGGUCUGGAAAUGGACUUGGGCAUUGUGUAAAGCAGGCCGCAGGGCUCCCUUCUGAUUCUCAUACUGCCCCAUCCUGGAAAGCAGGCGCGAAGGAGCCCUGGGGAAAAAUAACUCAGGCCUGGCUUUGGGGAGGCAGCAGUGACGCCCUCAGCCAGCCUCUCAUUAAAUGAACAGCAGCAGGGGGAGGAGGGAGGGCCGCCCCAGCUGCUGAGAGCAGGAGGUCACAGCCCUGGGCAGUCAAGUGGCACUCACUCACCUCUCCCGCCCCCUUUCAUUCUCCAUUAACCACCCGGCCCUUCUAAUCCAAUGGGCUUCCUUUCCUGGGGCAGGAGGCCCAGAGCAGCUGCUGCCUACACUCACAAAGCUGAUUACUGAGAAGGAUCCAGAACCCGGAAGCAGGCUUCUGCUGCGGCUGUGGAUCUCUGAGGUGUGGGAGAGCCAAGCCACGUGCCGGCCCCCCCACAGGAGGCUGAGCAGUGACUGAAGACAUGGGGGGGGGGGGCCCAGCCAGCCCAGCACAAGGAGGCCGAGCAGAGGGCAGGGCCGUGUUAUUAAACCUGGUUUCUCUCUGAGGGAUUCGUGUGAGAGGGGCAGGCAGGCCCUACCCUCACAAGGAAUGACCCAGAACAAGGUCAGCAGCAAGAGCGGGCCCCUCUCAAUGCCGGGAAACGGUCCUUCUUGGUGCUGCCGUAUAGGUAGGACCUUAGAUGUGCAGGCCUCUCACCUCCCGAGCAGCUAGGGGUUCCAGCAUCACUGGGUUCGCAGACAGCGCUCAGGCGCCGAGGCUCAGGUGUCAUUCGAUGGUACCAGAGCCAGGACCCAGGCCGCCCCCCAGUGCUCAGGCCCUCCUUCUACUCGGAAACGGAGCAGGGACUUCCGCAGAAGGCAGCUGACCGAUGUCCCAGGCAGGGAGCCGUGUGAAUCCUGGGGACACAAAUUCUCAGGCUGCUGUGACAGCUCUAGUGAGACUUCAGACAUCAUCCAAAUGCGCAUUAAUUAGAACAGCGGCGUAGCUAGCACGUCGGCAGACGUCGGGAAGGGGAAGGGCUGAACGCAAAGCCGCGCUGGCGUGUUCGCGAUCAUUCCAGCAGCGCUGCACAUCAACUGAAUACGAGACGGCGCAGGGAGCUGUAAGCAGCAUUCAGCAAUCUGUAGUGCAGGCGGUUAUGUUUUGUACAGCUGGCGAAGCUUAUAAUCUAAUUUUUUUUUUCCUAGGAGAAGUCAGGGCUUUCCUAGUAGCUAAAAUGUUCUCUUUCAGAGAUAGAGUCGUGUUAAUUUUUCUGCUUACUGGGAAGUAGUAAACUCUUAAAGAACAUACCUUUAGAAAAAAGCUGCCUAGCUCUGGAGAGUCAGAAAUAAAACAUUUGCUUUUAGGCAGUUUCUUCCUCGUGGCCCUUUUCCUUCCCAGACAGUUGGCCCAGACCACAGCGCAGGAGGAGGGAGACCAGCUCAGGCCCUUGGCAGACAGUCUUUCUGAGAAACGCCAAGUCCCAGGGGGCAUCUCUGGAGCCACCUGAGUCGGACCCCACUCGCUUGGCCCAUUUAGGACAGACAAACAGAAUAGGGUCCAGAAACUCCCUCCAACAAGGAGCUGCUGGAGUUGCCGUCGUGGCGCAGCAGAAACGAAUCCGACGAGGAACCAUGAGGGUGCGGGUUCGAUCCCUGCCCCCGCUCAGUGGGUUAAGGAUCUGGCGUUGCCGUGAGCUGUGGUGUAGGUCGCAGACACGCUCGGAUCUGGCGUUGCUGGGGCUGUGGAGUAGGCCAGCUGCCCCUCCAAUCUGACCCCUGGCCUGGGAACCGCCAUAUGCAGAGUUACCUACACAGAAUAUGUGUAUAUCCUUAUUUUUUCAAAUUUACUUAGUAUUUAAUAAGUAAUAAAUGAUAGGUAUUUAAAUUACUGGGUUUUAAUUUAUUUUAUUAAAAAAUGAAAAUGAAAAAUAGCCAAAUGAAGGGCUCGGACUGAAACAAACUGAUCCUCUGUCGCAACGCGUGACUGUCUGCUCUCCCAGCCUGGGGAGAGGUGCCUGCCCUGGGGUUUCAUAUUUUCAAGUUGGAAAUCCUUGCCAAGGGAGUUUCUGCUGUGGAGCCGUGGGUUAAGGAUCCCGCGCUGCCACAGCUGGGGCUGAGGUCACAGCUGGGGCUCAGAUCGGAUCCCUGGCCUGGGAACUUGCGUAGAAAUCCUUGGCAUUGCUAACCCGCCUGGCCUCUGGUUGGGGCAGCCCUGAGCGUGGUCUCACAGGCGGCUAAUUCUAGAACCGUGGUGUGAAUGCUUUCUCCCAACCGGAGUCUUGACUUGCUGAAGACUCAGCCUCUGAGAUCAGUCUCAAAAUCAGAAGCUACCUCCGGCCCAGUGGCACCCUGCAACAAUGGUCCGCCUCCCCAAGGUCAGACCCUUCUCAUCUUUAUUCCUCGUAAAGGCUAAAGGAGAUUUGAAGUGCUGGCCACCUGCCUUCUGCGACUGUCCUUGGAGCUGGUCACGGUCAAAAUUCUUCAGCCUGGCUUUCCCCAACACAAGGAUUUUUCUUCCUCUGAUCCUUUCAGAUCUGAUUUGGUCCCUCUCUUCAUUUUCUUCCCUGUCUUUGACCUCUGUUUCUCUCCAAAGGCAGAGACUGGAAUUCAGCCUAAUAUUCACUGACGGAGGGUCUGGGAGAUGGCUGACUGCUGCCUCGGGGUGUUUUUUAUGAAGCUUUGAUGUCCUCCAAAUCCUCUUUGUAGGAACAGGGCCAAAGACGUUAAUCUGAUGGGAUUGAAUCCGGCAGGCUGAUGUCUGAGCCAGACGGCCUGCGCCUUUGGGGCCUUUGGGGCUUGUGACCGUGCCCUUGGUUGGGAGUCCAGGACGGUCUCUUAGUCUGGACGUUUGAACCCACAGCCCUGCAGGCUGGCCCCCCUGGCUGUUCUCGCCCCCACAUCCCUGUGCCUCGAGUCAGGGGGUUACCAGGAGCUCUCUGCUCUCGGACCUCACUAGAAAAGCUCAAGCCCAUGACAGCAAGUGGAGGGCUUCUGCGUGGCCGGGACCGCUGCCACCUCCCAGGACACAUGGGCUGCCAUCAGCCUGGGAUCAAGAGCUGAUGACGCCCACGGCUCUGCCCCAGCCAAGCCCGGCCCCAGCCGCCUCCUGGACAUCACAUCUGAUGGGGUGCUGCGUUUCUGCCCACCAAGAUGCCCUCUGCCCCCCCCACUCCCGCCCCCGCCCCAGUGUUUGUCAUCCCAUUCAGAGCUCUAGCACCAGUCGCGUGGCUGCUCCGACCAAGAGCCCCAGUGUCUUCCUGGUUUUCUCUUUGUCCCUGUCCCACCUGCCUGCAGUGACCACAUCAGCAGGUCCUGCCUCCUGGGCCUCCACAAUGCCCGCUGCAUGCGGGCUCACCCAUCUUUCUGGCCACCGCUCCAGUCCAUGCCUCGUCUGGGCUGUUCAGGUUCCCUGCCUCCAGUGUGCGCCCCACCUGCGCCCCGCCCAGCAACCAGUGUGAUCUUCACAAAAUAGAAACCACAUCUCCUGCUCUGCUUAAAGCCCCCCAGUGGCUCCCAUCACUCACAGAGUAAAUGCCAGGCUCUUCCCAACACCCCCAACGGCUCUGCCUCUUCUAGUCGCCCCCCACCCCAGACACAUGCCAGGCCUGGUGCCACGCUUCCUCUGCCUGGCCAGCCCUCCCAGCCUCGAUCCCUAGAAGGAAUUGCUUCUCUUCCCCUUUUAAGUCUCUGUGACCUUGGCCACCGUGGUGGAUGUAAAUUCCUCCCAGCACACGGUCCUCUCUGGCUUCCUUCGCAGCAUUCAGUGCAGGCUGAGGUCAUCUUUGAUUUUGGUGCAUUGUCUGCUGCGGAGGAAUGUCAGCUCAUGAGAACAGGCGCACCCAGAAGGUACUUGUUGAAUGAAUAAACUGCAAUAACAACAAAAAGAAAACCCCAUCGCUUCCUGCUUACCGCCUGCUCAUAGGACUGCCCUGGGCAGCAGCAAUCAUUUUUCUUUGUGCCCAGGGCCCUGUGUGUCACCUGCCUGCGUGCAUCCCUAGAGCUGUGUUUUCUGCCCCAAAGAGGCAAACUGUAAGGUAGUGAGCUCCCUGAUGCUGGGGGUGUUCAAACAGAGACUGGGUAGCUGGCAGUUCAUCUAAGGUUUUAUCACCUGGGGUUUUGUACUGGGUCGGAGCCAAGGUAGAUCAGCGGCUUCUGACAUAUUUAAAAGCACUGGAUACCUCUCUCCCUCCAGUCGCAUAAGGAAGCUCAGUGCAGGGAGCAGAAGCGGAACUGGUCUGGGUGGGGGUCUUGGCCCCUCUGCCCCUCCUCCCUGCAGCAGACCCUGCAGUCCGUCCACACAGCGCCGGGGCUCUCUCCACCCCGGUUAGAAUAGUAACUGAGCUCCAUCCUGUCCAAGUCAGAAGGUGUGGUCUCAGAGGACCCCGUCCGACAGAGGAGGGAGAGGGGCCCAGGGGCGAGCCUCCAAGGACAGCCCCUGUGCCCGAGGCUGUGGCCCCAAGGAUGACCUCAUGGCCCAUGUGGUGGGUGGGAGAGGACAGCACUUGCCAGCAAACCCUUAGAGACUGACUCAUGGAAUCUGGAAGCAGGAGAGCUUUCAAAGCCAGGCUUCCUUGAACUGUACAUAGCAACUGUCAUCAGGGGGCUUUGAGCAGAAAAGCAUCAUCAAGUCGGCGUUUUAAGAUGUCUUCAGAACGGGAGAAUUGGAGGAGAAUGGGGUCCAGGACAUGGUGCCAGGAUGAAGGCACAGAGUGACCGAGGCCAGAUCAGGGAGAAUUAGGGGGAGGAGGGACCCCAGACGUCUCCCAAAGGCAAGGAGAGCUUAGAAGUCAGAUGGAGAGGAAGUGCCAGGCUGUCGUCAACAUUCCUGGGCCAUGAUGAAGUGUCAAGUUGCUGUGACCGCAGAGAAAACCUGGACACGUUGAAAGGGGCCAAGCUGGGACAAGAAGAGUUUGGUUCCUUGUCACCCGAGACAUGUCCUGUCCAGCCGCACAUGUGGAUGGAGAGAGCUGGCCUGCUUGGAGCCUGGAGCUGUCAUCUGGAGGCCAGGGGUGGCUGCCUUGUUUUGAUGGUACAGGCGGAGAGAACGGCCUGGCUGUGACCUCGGCCGCCAGCCUGUCCUCCCCGCCCAGCACCGGCGCCCCGGGAGCUGGCGCCGGCUCUGCUCUGUCUGCUCGCCCCACAGCAACGCUCUGCUGUGAAUGCAAAAGAUGAACAGCCUCAUUGCCUAAUGGAAUCCUUCUGGAAGGAGUGCCAGCACUGUCUAUCCUGCUUCCGCCUGGGUGGAAGCAGGGAGGCAGCCCCUGUGCCCGGUCUCAGUGCCCAUCUUAGGGACCUUCCCUGGAGAUGGGGCAGUCCGCUGACCUGGCUGCAUGGCGUGUGCUUGGGGGAUUGUGCAGGCCCCCUGAGGGCUUCCUGUUGUCUCUGCUGUCGCCUGCUGCGGGGGCAUGGAGGGACAGGCAUCCUCAUGGGAGCUGGGCCUCCCCUCUGCCUCCCUGGCGGAUCCGUGAUCCCCGCCCCUGGUCAGGUCCACUUUCUGGAUGAACUAGAGUCGAGGGAGGGGUUGGCACAGGCCCAACAGGAGGCAGCCCAGGUGGCUGGUCACAGGAUCCAAUAGAUCCUGUUUGCAGGACCCGAGGGCAGAUUCAUUUCCUUAGGCAGACAGAUAUCCGUCUCUCUCUCUCCAUCUCCCCCCAUCUCUUCUGACUUCAGCCGUGCGUCAGGCCUAGAUGGGGCCAGGGCAGCCAUAAGUAGCAUUGCGCUGCCCCUGGGGUGCAUACCUGGCUCCCAGGGGCUCUGAGAAGCCUCCUUCCAAGCCCCUGCCCCUCCCCUCUGCCGUCCCUCCCUCUUGGGCUCCUGGCCUUGGCGGGGCUGUCAGGAGGCCCACCUCCACCCCCUCCCCUGGUGGAAAAGCUGAAUUAGAAAAGUAUCCCAGUUUCGCACAGCCAAGGAAACUAUAAAUAAAACAGCCUACGGAAUGGGAGAAAAUAGUUUCAAAUGAUGCAACUGACAAGGGCUUAAUCUCCAAAAUAUACAAACACCUCAUACAACUCACUAGCAAGAAAAACAAACAAUCCGGAGUUCCUAUCUGUCAUGGCUCAGCGGAAACAAAUCUGACUAGGAACCAUAAGGUUGCGGGUUCCAUCCCUGGCUUUGCUCAGUGGGUUAAGGAUCUGGCGU